rnacentral:sRNA from 1 species
AAAUCCGUUUUGGCAUGUUUGAACGAAGUACAUACUUUGAUAUCAUUUCAUCAUAUAAAUUUUCGAAGAAGUCAAUUAAAACCGUGUUGUAUGAUAAUUUGUUUGGGAAGUCUGUCUGUUGGGCGUAGCCCAAUUGGUUUACAUAGUAGUCAGAAAUGCAAUCGGCCUGACUAUCACUCGGUAUUAGUCGGAAAGCAUUUCAAACUCGAGACAAACAAUGUGGUUCCUUCGGAGAGAAGUCCACUCUAAAACACUUUGGUGCGUUUUUACUGAGGUUAAACAGAUCAGUCUAUAGAAUUUAUCAAAAAAAAAAAAAAAGUUGAGGUUGUGUGCAACUUAAAUUGGAUUCUUAAU